rnacentral:misc_RNA from 1 species
AAGUCGUAACAAGGUCUCCGUAGGUGAACCUGCGGAGGGAUCAUUACCGAGAUAGGGUCCCCCCGGGGCCCGACCCUCCCACCCCUGCGUACCUACCUCUGUUGCUUUGGCGGGCCGCGGGGCCCCGGCCCCCCGUCGACCCCGGUGGACGAGCGCCCGUCAGAGACCCCCCCAACCCCGCUCACCGUGACGUCCGAGCAGCGAUGCAAUAGCUAAAACUUUCAACAACGGAUCUCUUGGUUCUG